CUGGCAUACAUAUGUGUAUACAUGUGUGUUUUCUAAGUAAGUUACUUUUACCAUUAGAAUAAAACUGGACACAACAGGGACGACUCUGAGCAACAGUGUGGUCUUCCUUGGAAACCCUUCUUUAGGUUGGGGAAGGCAGGUGUAGAUUGCUGGAGGAUGUGAUGAGACUAUAGUAAGUCUUCUUAUCAUCUGUUAAUUCUGUUUCCAGGUCUCACCGCCACCACUAAGUGCACAUCUGCUUCCUCAGCAGCACUGGUAUCUUGAGUAACAUCUGUCAGAAGCAAAGUGUUGUUGGUUGAACCCCCAAUGCUGUCUGCAAUCCUUCUAUAACUUUGACUCUCUACUUUGUGUCCAAUCUUGGUAUCAAAGGGGCCAUCAACAAGCUCAAGAAUCUUUCCCUUCGCAGACUGCCCGAAUAACAGUUUCUGUGCCUCUACACUCCCCGAGGAAUAGAUACACACCUUCAUUUCAGCCUCUCUCCACUUGCCGACUGCUGGAAACGCAUCUGCAAAGAGCUCUGCUUUCAUGGGCCGAGCUGUGAAUGCUGCCCUUCAUGUGUGGCCCUGCAGCUGUUUGAACACGGUGGUCUUUCCGUCCAGGGACGUCUGCCAGCACACCUUAUCUACCACGGCCUGGAUCAUCUGUUGCAGAUCAUCCACUCUAUUCCCAUGCCACAUACCUUUCUGCUGCAGGGAUAGGAACAGUCCCAUCCAGGUCAUCCAGAUCUGCUAGGUGUAUAAUAAGCUUUACGUCAGAGGUGAGUAAAAUACUGAUAACAUUUUCUAUCUAUAAGAUGUUUAAUAAUUUAUAAAUUACUUAGGUAUCUGGUAU
ensembl:lincRNA